AUGCGAGUAAAUCGUCUAUUAAAGAGACGGGGAUUCUCAGAUCCAGAUCACACCAUCUUCCCACAGCGAGUAUCCAUCGGAGCGCGCCCGGAAAAAAUCCAUUCCAACAUGGCCGGCCAUCGGAGCUUCUCCUCUCGCUCCCGUAGCCCUAAGCCCGGUAAUUGGAAGAAGUGUUCCAUCCCCCACAGCCAAUUAGUAGAGUUACAGACCCAGGGAUUUCUCCCUCCAGCGUAUAUGGUACUCGUUCGAGCCGGGCUCGCCACCUACAAUGGCGGGGAGCAAGUGGAGAGCUUUCCCAACCCAUCCAUGGGGGAGCGGGUAUGCCUUGUCCCUUACUUAUUAAGAGGGCUUGGAUUCCCAAUUCAUCCAUUCCUCCGUGGGCUCCUGGAGUUCUAA
rnacentral:rRNA from 1 species